rnacentral:rRNA from 1 species
GACGAACGCUGGCGGCGUGCCUAACACAUGCAAGUCGAACGGACAUUUUUGGAAAGUUCUUCGGAGCUGGAAUCUAAAUGUUAGUGGCGGACGGGUGAGUAACGCGUGAGCAAUCUGCCUUUCAGAGGGGGAUAACAGCCGGAAACGGCUGCUAAUACCGCAUAAUGCAUUGGAUUCGCAUAUUUCUGAUGCCAAAGAUUUUAUCGCUGAAAGAUGAGCUCGCGUCUGAUUAGCUAGUUGGUGAGGUAACGGCUCACCAAGGCGACGAUCAGUAGCCGACCUGAGAGGGUGAUCGGCCACAUUGGGACUGAGACACGGCCCAA